GGAUGCGAUCAUAGCAAGCACUAAAGCACCGGAUCCCAUCAGAACUCCGAAGAUAAGCGUGCUUGGGUGAGAGUAGUACUAGGAUGGGUGACCUCGUGUUGCAUUCC
rnacentral:rRNA from 1 species